rnacentral:lncRNA from 1 species
CUCCAUUUUGGGGGUGACGAAAGCUGGAUUCCAUUUUUUUUUUGUCUUUAAAUAUAUUUUGGUGGCUGGAAAAUAGUUUCAUGCGCUGACUCAGUUGCUGCAUAAAAGGCAUUUUUUCCAGGGUGUAAUUGUAGUUGGGAAAAAUCAACUCUUUGUUCGGAGGGGGACUCAUCAAUUCAUCUGCCAAUAACACUGGCAUUAUGAAGGUUCCUGGGAUUUGGGUUUUCUUCUUUGUGAUCGGGACAGCUUUGUUCGUCUUUGCCUUCAGCAGCUCCUCCAUUCCUGGUAAUGUUUUACCUCGUACUAGUUCAUUUCUCUUCUGUUAAUUGGCCUACAUAACCAUCAAGACAAAAUUCCUGUGUUUGUUUUCAUUACUGGAAUUCGGGUAAUAGCUGCAUUGGAAGAUGGCUUAAGUGUUAUAGUUAAUGCAGCUUCUUAACAUUAUUUAUCCGUUAAUGAUCUGACUGAUCUUAUCAAAAGCACUCUCUAGCUACCACUACCUACAUUUGAAAUUUAUUAAACUUUUGUUUUUAAGAAAUUUAGAAGAUUUAAAAAUAUAAGUUAAAUGGUUAAAAUUUUUGUAUUAAAUUUAAAUUCAUUACAAUAUCAAUUGCCAAUAAAUUUAAAUUAAUUUUAAUAAUGUAAAUAAUUGGGUUUAUGUUUUUGAAAUGGGAAAAGAAAAUAAAAAUAAAAUUCAAAAUACAACAAACCAAAAACUUAAGUUUAACUUUUCUUUUGUGCAAUUAUAUUUGAGAUGUUGAUUGUUUAGUCCAUAAACAAUGAACCUUCAAUCUACAACUCUGGUAAACUGCACAUGGCUCGUUGCUAUUUAAAGAAUUAAAUGACCUCACUGCAUGCUAUUUCUUGUUAUAUAAGUUUGAAGUGUCAAUAAUUUUGUUACCUUCAAAGAAGAAAAAGGUUAAUAAUUUCGGUCAACCGUCUCAAUUCUCAAGCUGUCUUUUACAGAGAUUUGUUUUGGAUCUUCAUUCUUUGGGUUUAAAUAAAUAAUUUUAGUGAUCUAUUUCAAUCGUAUUUAUAACUAGUUGAUCAAAUUGCAGGCUUUGGUUGGCCCAUAUCUAAAUCAUGCCAAUAAAAUGAUGUAGCUUAAAAUUGCGGUUUUGCAUGUUAAAAAGUAAAUGCAUGACGUUAGUAAAUCAAGUUAAAUAGCAGCAACCAGAUACAUGUCACUGUUGUAAUCAAUCAUUAUUACAUGUUUAAUAGUGACCAGCUUCUUAAAUGUCAGGUAUGGAUUUGCAGCAUGUUGAUGGUACGAGUAUGAGUGAAACAAGUAGAAAGCUGAAGGUAUACACAUUCACUACAUGCAUGGCCACAAUCUGCAAAGAGAACCCUUUUCUUUCGUUUCCGGAUUUUGAGACAUUUUCUCAUCUGAAAUUUGCAGGGGAGUGGAUACAGUCCAAGCAAUGAAAAGAGGAGCAAUGUGGAUGUGGAUGAUUACGAUCCUAUUGAUCCAGUUCCAAGCUCCAAAGCAUCCAUAAAACCUGGUCCUAUUGAGCAUGGUACUCCUCUUAUUCCCUACAUCCCAAAACCCUCACCUCCAGAUCAUCCCAAAAUUGGUGGUUCCACUUAGCCAUCCAAAAAAAUCUUCUGAAGAACAUGCCAAUGUAAUAUCUGUAUCGUACCUCAUGUUUUAACCAGCUUUGUUCUCUGAAUCCCGUCUAUUCAAUAACUUCAAGUUGCC